GCAGCCCGGCCCUGCAGGCGCUGAGGCAGCGCUUGGAGGGCGACAAGAAGGCCUACAAACGCAAGCUCCAGGCUUACCAGGAUGGCCAGCAGCGCCAGGCUCAGCUCGUCCAGCGGCUCCAGAGCAAGGUUUUGCAGUACAAGAGGAGGUGUGGGGAGCUGGAGCAGCAGCUGCUGGAG